rnacentral:rRNA from 1 species
UACGGAGGGAGCUAGCGUUGUUCGGAAUUACUGGGCGUAAAGCGCACGUAGGCGGCUUUGUAAGUUAGAGGUGAAAGCCCGGGGCUCAACCCCGGAAUUGCCUUUAAGACUGCAUCGCUUGAAUCCAGGAGAGGUGAGUGGAAUUCCGAGUGUAGAGGUGAAAUUCGUAGAUAUCGGGAGGAACACCGGUGGCGAAGGCGGCGACCUGGGUCGACACUGACGCUGAGGCGCGAAAGCGUGGGGAGCAAACAGG